GUGAAGAGGGAAACAACCCAGACCGCCAGCUAAGGUCCCAAAGUCAUGGUUAAGUGGGAAACGAUGUGGGAAGGCCCAGACAGCCAGGAUGUUGGCUUAGAAGCAGCCAUCAUUUAAAGAAAGCGUAAUAGCUCACUGGUCGAGUCGGCCUGCGCGGAAGAUGUAACGGGGCUAAACCAUGCACCGAAGCUGCGGCAGCGACGCUGAUGCGUUGUUGGGUAGGGGAGCGUUCUGUAAGCCUGCGAAGGUGGCCUGUGAGGGUUGCUGGAGGUAUCAGAAGUGCGAAUGCUGACAUAAGUAACGAUAAAGCGGGUGAAAAGCCCGCUCGCCGGAAGACCAAGGGUUCCUGUCCAACGUUAAUCGGGGCAGGGUGAGUCGACCCCUAAGGCGAGGCCGAAAGGCGUAGUCGAUGGGAAACGGGUUAAUAUUCCCGUACUUGGUGUUACUGCGAAGGGGGGACGGAGAAGGCUAUGUUGGCCGGGCGACGGUU
rnacentral:rRNA from 1 species